GAUGAACGCUGGCGACGUGCCUAAUACAUGCAAGUCGAACGAAGUCUUCGGACUUAGUGGCGAACGGGUGAGUAACACGUUGGUACCUACCCCGAAGUGGGGAAUAACUGCCCGAAAGGGUGGCUAAUACCGCAUAAUACCGCAAGGUUAAAGCAGUAAUGCGCUUCGGGAGGGGCCUGCGUCCCAUUAGCUAGUUGGUAGGGUAAUGGCCUACCAAGGCGACGAUGGGUAGCUGGAUCGAGAGGUUGACCAGCCACACUGGGACUGAGAUACGGCCCAGACUCCUACGGGAGGCAGCAGUAAGGAAUCUUCCACAAUGGACGAAAGCCUGAUGGAGCAACGCCGCGUGCAGGAUGACGGCCUUCGGGUUGUAAACUGCUUUUAUACGGGAAGAUUAUGACGGUACCGUAUGAAUAAGGACCGGCUAACUACGUGCCAGCCGCCGCAGUAA
rnacentral:rRNA from 1 species